GACGAACGCUGGCGGCGUGCUUAAUACAUGCAAGUCGAACGGACAGGCGCUGCUUUUGUGGCGUGCUUGAGUGGCGCAGGGGUGAGUAAAACGUGAGUAACAUGUCCUUGACUUUGGGAUAUCUUUAGGAAAAACGGGCUCUUACCGGAUAGGAGAUCUUGAUGCAUGGUGGGGGUUGGUAAGAUUCGGCGGUUGGGGAUGGACUCGCAGGUUAUCAGCUUGUUGGUGGAGUAGUGGCUGACCAAGGCUUUGAAGGGUAGCCGGCCUAGGAGGGGGACCGGCGUCAAUGGGACUGAGAGACGGCCCAGACGCCUACGUGAGGCAACAGGGGAGAAUAUGACGCAGCAGGGGGAAGUCUGUUACAGCGGCGUCGCGAGCGGAAUGACGGCCUCCGGGGUGUAAACCUCUGUGGCCGGUAACGAGGCGUUAUUGACGGUAAUUAAUAAAAAAGCACCGGCUAACUACGUG
rnacentral:rRNA from 1 species